GGCAUUUGAAACACCUUUCUAAAAUGAAAUUUAACUUCUCUGCCUUAGACCUCACUUUCUAGUUCAACAUUAAACUUUUCUUGGUAUACACAUGAUCGAAAAUUUUAUUUAAGUAUUCAAAAUGUCAUCAGUGAUAGCUGGCAAACCCUGCGGCAUAAAGCAUAAGGCUGGAACUUGCUACUGAGAAGUGAAAUGAAAACCCGCCCCCAGAUGAAGACCGUGUUUGAUGGAAACUGCACUUGUCGAAAUUCCCAAAUGUCUACUUUGAAAUGUGCUUGCGAUUUUUAAGCUGCUUUUAAUAAGUUCGACACAAAAUUGAAUUUUCAUAACGGCUUGUCCUAACACUUGUCCUUUUAACACCACCUCGGCCUCGGGCAUGGUCCAGGCUGUUUGGGAAUGGGUCACUUAAAAAGUAAUCCAUGCACAAAGUCACCCUAAGAGACGGUGUUCGCUCGGGUGUUUCGCAUUUGGCUGUUUGUUUGUUUUCCUAUGGCUACGAAGGGUGUGAACACAUUGUAGAGCUACAUACAUAUGAAAACUUUUAGAAUAAUACGUUGGCGAAAUGCUUGACUAAGCAGAAA